UACGAAGGGUGCAAGCGUUGCUCGGAAUUAUUGGGCGUAAAGGGUAGGUAGGUGGUCUCAUUUGUCUGAGGUGAAAGCCUUGAGCUUAACUCAAGAAGUGCCUUAGAAACGGUGAGACUGGAGUCCUGGAGAGGGUCGUGGAAUUCCCGGUGUAGCGGUGAAAUUCGUAGAUAUUCGGAAGAACACCAGUGGCGAAGGCGACAUACUGGUCCGUUACUGACGCUGAGGCUCGAAAGCGUGGGGAGCAAACAGG
rnacentral:rRNA from 1 species